AAACCAGCACCUCAAGUGGUCAGGAUGAUUAUUGGGCCUAAAGCAUCCGUAGCCGGCUCUGUAAGUUUCCGGUUAAAUCUGUACGCUCAACGUACAGGCUGUCGGGAAUACUGCAGAGCUAGGGAGUGGGAGAGGUAGACGGUACUCGGGAGGAAGUGGUAAAAUGCUUUGAUCUCUCGAUGACCACCUGUGGCGAAGGCGGUCUACCAGAACACGUCCGACGGUGAGGGAUGAAAGCUGGGGGAGCAAACCGGAGUAGAAACCCCAGUAGUCC
rnacentral:rRNA from 1 species